rnacentral:rRNA from 1 species
AUCACAAUAUUUUGCCCUAGGGUUAAAUAAUUGUAUUGAGAACAAAGUAGAUAAAUUAUCGAUAAACAACUGGAGGGCAAGUCUGGUGCCAGCAGCCGCGGUAAUUCCAGCUCCAGUAGUGUAUGCUAACAUUGUUGCAGUUAAAAAGCUCGUAGUUGAAUUUUUAAGGGAAUCACUUGUAUGUGUUCUUUAUGAUCUACAACACAUGUUGCUUCCUCUUAUUUUGCGCUUUUUCAAUUUUGGCAUUCAGUUGUUGACAGUGAAAUGAGUGUUUCUUUACUUUGAGAAAAUUAGUGUGUUUGAAGCAGUCUUACGGCUUUAUCCUAAAGCAUGGAAUAAUAAGUAAUGACAUCGGUCAAUUUUUGAUGGCUUGAGAGAUUGUUGUAAUGAUAUAUAGAGUUUGUCGGAGGUAUUAGUAUUUUGUCGUUAGAGGUGAAAUUCUGGGAUCGAUAAAAGAUGAACAAUUGCGUAAGCAAUUACCUAGGAUGUUCUCCUUGAUCAAGAACGUAAGUUGAGGGAUCGAAGACGAUCAGAUACCGUCGUAGUCUUAACUUUAAACUAUAUUAGCUAGGGAUUGGCAAAUGUUUAGACGACCUUGUUAGAACCUUAGGAGAAAUUAAAGCGUUUGGAUUCCGGGGGGAGUAUGGUCGCAAGGGUGAAACUUAAAGGAAUUGACGGAAGGGCACCACAAGAUGUGGAUCCUGUGGCUUAAUUUGACUCAACACCGGGAAACUUACCAGGUCCAGACAUAGGUAAGAUUGACAGAUUGAAAGUUCUUUCUUGAUUCUGUGGGUGGUGGUGCAUGGCCGUUCUUAGUUGGUGGAGUGAUUUGUCUGGUUAAUUCCGUUAACGAACGAGACUAUUACCGGCUAAAUAGUGAAAUCUUUUGAUUAGGAUAGUUGCUUCUUAGAGGGACUGGUUUUGCAUAAAUUACUGGAAGUUUGUAGCAAUAACAGGUCUGUGAUGCCCUUAGAUGUUCUGGGCUGCGCACGGGCUACAAUAGAAGAGUAAUUGAGCUUAUUAAACAUAGCUUGAAAUGGGUUUUGUAAUCUUAAAAUUAUACUUUAUUUGGGAUCGCGCUUUGAAAUUGUUACGUGUUAACCAGGAAUAUCUAGUAUGUGUGUGUCAUCAGCGUGCACUGAAUACGUCCCUGCCCUUUGUACACACCGCCCGUCGCUC